UACGAAGGGGACUAGCGUUGUUCGGAUUUACUGGGCGUAAAGCGCGCGUAGGCGGAUAUCUAAGUCAGGGGUGAAAUCCCAGGGCUCAACCCUGGAACUGCCUUUGAUACUGGGUGUCUGGAGAUCGGGAGAGGUGAGUGGAAUUCCGAGUGUAGAGGUGAAAUUCGUAGAUAUUCGGAGGAACACCAGAAGCGAAGGCGGCUCACUGGCCCGAUACUGACGCUGAGGCGCGAAAGCGUGGGGAGCAAACAGG
rnacentral:rRNA from 1 species